ACCUGAAACUCUACCCUCUCCAGCCGAGAAUAACUGCCUGCCCCACCCCCUCCACAUAAGCUCCAACACGUCCCCCUCCCCCAAGGCCUCCAGGCUCUGUGUUGAGCUGGGGACACAGCCACGCCCUAGUCUGGCCACAGGGUCUGGCUGCAGGAGGAAGAGCAGGUCCUCAGGGUGGGCCGGGGCUGCAGGAGCUCCCCUCAAGUCCCAGGUCCCUGGCCUCCUCCCGUGAUCAACCCAUCUCACAUGACAGCUUCUCUUUGAGGCUUCCAACAACACUGAGAUGGCUGACAGGGGCUCAGGGGAGAAAGAAUUCCACUUGAGUUUAUACGCGGGAGGCACUCCUGGGAGCAGCCUCCCUGGCCGCCCAGGUAACAGGUACCUGGAGGCAGGACCAGCCCAUGGGAGCCUCUCCCCACACCUCUGGCCCUGGGCAGAUGAACAGCGGACAAAACCUGUCCAGGGCAGGCCUGCAGAGAGGGGCCAUGCAGCUUCUGCCUCAGCCUGACACCCAGUCCUGGGUUAGGGAAGUUUACCAGGAUCCUCUCCUUCUCAUUGCCCUGGGCAAAUCCAGCCAGCCUCCCUUCACUCCCACAGCGGGGUCUACCUGGACCACAGCAGGAGACAGCCUGAGGGGUGCACUGUCACUACCACUAGGUGCUCCACCAGAGCAUCUAGUUCAAAGGGAGUCCGAGGUCCCUGUCCUCACGAGACUGACCUUCUAAAGGGGCCAGCAAA